rnacentral:rRNA from 1 species
UAGGGAAUCUUCCGCAAUGGGCGAAAGCCUGACGGAGCAACGCCGCGUGAGUGAUGAAGGUCUUCGGAUCGUAAAACUCUGUUAUUAGGGAAGAACAUAUGUGUAAGUAACUGCGCACAUCUUGACGGUACCUAAUCAGAAAGCCACGGCUAACUACGUGCCAGCAGCCGCGGUAAUACGUAGGUGGCAAGCGUUAUCCGGAAUUAUUGGGCGUAAAGCGCGCGUAGGCGGUUUUUUAAGUCUGAUGUGAAAGCCCACGGCUCAACCGUGGAGGGUCAUUGGAAACUGGAAAACUUGAGUGCAGAAGAGGAAAGUGGAAUUCCAUGUGUAGCGGUGAAAUGCGCAGAGAUAUGGAGGAACACCAGUGGCGAAGGCGACUUUCUGGUCUGUAACUGACGCUGAUGUGCGAAAGCGUGGGGAUCAAACAGGAUUAGAUACCCUGGUAGUCCACGCCGUAAACGAUGAGUGCUAAGUGUUAGGGGGUUUCCGCCCCUUAGUGCUGCAGCUAACGCAUUAAGCACUCCGCCUGGGGAGUACGACCGCAAGGUUG